GUCGAGAAUAAUUCACAAUGGACGAAAGUCUGAUGGUGCAACGCCGCGUGGAGGAUGACGGUCUUCGGAUUGUAAACUCCUGUCAUCCGGGAGUAAGACCUGGCUGUGAAUAGCAGACAGGGUUGAUAGUACCGGAAGAGGAAGGGACGGCUAACUUCGUGCCAGCAGCCGCGGUAAUACGAAGGUCCCGAGCGUUGUUCGGAAUCACUGGGCGGAAAGGGAGCGUAGGCGGCGUGGUAAGUCAGAUGUGAAAUCCCGGGGCUCAACCCCGGAACUGCAUCCGAUACUGCCGUGCUAGAGGAUUGGAGAGGUAGCUGGAAUUCUUGGUGUAGCAGUGAAAUGCGUGGAGAUCAAGAGGAACACUCGUGGCGAAAGCGAGCUACUGGACAAUAUCUGACGCUGAGGCUCGAAGGCCAGGGUAGCGAAAGGGAUUAGAAACCCGGGUAGUCC
rnacentral:rRNA from 1 species